rnacentral:lncRNA from 1 species
AGAAGGGAGAGGCAGAGUGGGGGAUAAUUUGGGAAGAGAAAAUUGCAGCUGUGACAAGACGUUUAUCAUUCGGAAGCUUUAAUUCUAUUGAAAUGGCAGCUGCUCAGCUCCGGGGCACGGAGCAGCCGGGAGAGGGAGAGGAGGGAGAGAAAGAAAGGGGGAGUUGUUGUGGGAAGGAGAGGGGGUCCCCACCCUCGUCCUGUUCUAAUAGUUCAAAGAAGGAAGGUGGGGCAAAGGGAGAAGGAAGUGACGGCCCCUUUACCAAAAGGUCUCAGUUCUGCACGUCCCAAGUUGUCACAGACUCUGCAGAGGACCGUCACUAGUCACUACUUCCUGAGUACAAGACCAGCACUCCCGUGUCUCUGGUGACAGGAGGCAGCAGGAUAUCCAGCUCCCCAAUUCCUGGCUGGGGCUGCUGGUGCAUUAGUCAGAACCAUCUUUCUCAGCACCCCUCCCCACAAAGGGCUGGAGGGGGUCUUGCAGCCCCCUCCCCCACCUCAUCCCCCAAGGCUCGGGCUCCAUGGCAACGGCCACGCAGACAAGGAGGCGUCUGUCAGCGUCAUUUAUCUCUGACAUCAUCAAUCACUGGUCACCACGGCAACACCCAUGAUUCAACACAAGAGGGUCUCCCCGUCCAGCCCUCCCCUCUGUCCCUCCCUCCGUCAGGGCCUCAGCUGAGCCCAAACUGGAAACCCCCUUUCCUCUGGGAUCUGAGAAGCCCAAUUCUCUUCCAACUCAGGGUUCCAGGUUUAUCCAGACAAUGGCUUCAGGGGGUCCUAUGUCAGCCCCCCCAUACAUACAGACCAACUUCACACCUUUUCGAGUUCAGGCCUCUCCCUUAAGAUACAGGAGGGACUGGGAUAAGCUACUGAGCCACACCCAAAGCCAAGCAAAACCCAGAAGAAAGCUAUCCUGGGGGCAGGCACCCCAUACACAAGCAGGCAUGCAAGCAACCACCAUGCUAAGGGGACCGCUCUGUGCAUUCUGGGCUUAACACCAAACGAUCCAUGGACACGCAGCCAGCCAGACUCCCAGAGACAAAGACUCAGGGCUGCAGAGGACACAGGACACACAAGGUUGGAGAUGGGAAAGGAGGCAUCUGGAACUCACAGCCUGGACUCAGGACACAGCAUGAAAAGACAGCAGGAUGAGCUGGGUGUGGUAAAGAGUUCCUUUAAUCCCAGCACUUGGGAGGCUUGAAGCCAAGUGGAUUUCUGAGAGUCUGACUUCAGCCUGGUCUAUAUAGAGUUCCAGGACAACCAGAGCUGCAUAAUAGAGACACUUUGUCUCAAAAGACUGUCCCCCCCCCAAAAAAACAAAAAAAACAAAACAAACAAACAAACAAAAAAACCAGCAGCAGGAAGCCAACAAGGGACUAUGCACAGUUACACACUCACACACUCAUGAGGCCAAGAAGGGACUGUGCAGUCAUGCACACUCGUGAGGCCGAGGAGGGGCGGCAUGCUCAUCCUUGCGAGCGAGACAUUCACCACCGAGACAAACACACUAGACAGGCACAGAAAAGCCAGGCUGUCCGGGGUUCUGCAUUGUAAGUUAAGUUAGCACAGAAACUGACUGACCAGGUAGCACAAGACAGGACAAACCAGACAGGACCAGCACUGUCUUACACUAACUACCCUUGACCUCGAUCUUACACUCAGAGAUAGCUAUUCCAGCCUAAGGUUCCUUCCAGGGUCAGGCGCCCCAAGUACUGUGGAUGCACAGCUUCGAGGCCCUUAUCAUUGUGGGAAGGAACUAGGGCAGAGGCCCUGCCACCAAUCAGGUAGAGAGCAGAUGUCCCGGCCAGAGCGGCCAGGAAGGGUUAGCCACAUGCGUGCCCAGAGACCAGUAUGAGUAAGAUGGCAGGAAACCCAGUAGCCACUGGGGAGUCCACAGCCUGGACACCUGAAGGGAGUCCAAGGCAGGGUGUCUGCUACUAGCUGUCUCUUGCAAGGAUACCAUGGAAAGCUUCAGGCAAGGCCACUGGGGGCAGGCCUCCUGGGUCCCCAGCCAAGAGCCAGGCAGCAAGCAGCCAGCUCACCAUGGCAACCUGGGGAAACAGUGGCAGGGCCAGUGUACACCCUGCCAGCCAGAGGAUGGAGACAGGAGAGCAUGGUGGGAGGGGAGGGAGCUUCUGGUCACAGGGAGGGGGUGCUGCUCAUUUAGGGAGGAGGUGUCCUCCUCCACACAGUUGCUGAAGAAGCAAAAGCAGGUGGGCGGCUUUGGUAACAGCCCUGCCAACUGCAUCCCGAGGAUGUGUGUGUGUGUGUGUGUGUGUGUGUGUGUGUGUGUGUGUGUGUGUGAUAUCCCGUUUAUCUGACCCAGACUGUCCUCCUCCGACUUGCGACUCCCUCUACUCACCUUACAGCCCUCACAGGCGCUGACCCCAUAGUGGUAGCCGGAUGAUUUGUCUUGACAAACAAAGCAAGGCUUGUAGAUGCGGGGCAGGGGCGGUGGUGAGGGAGGGCUGGGUACUAUCUCUUCGGAACUGCUGCUCUGGGUCUCGAUGGCUAGGAGAGAAGGAGGAGACUUGAGAGACCCAGGUACCUAGCCCUCCGCACCCUGUCCACCUUGCCUGGGGUGAUCCUGGUCUCAACACUUGAGGGCAGGAUUCAAAGCAUGGACAGAGGAGGUCUCUGUAAACUUGGUUCUCCCCCCCACCCCAGACUGGCUGACAGUUAAACAUUCAGUCCCCAUUAUUCCUAUGACCCAGGACUCAGCUUCAAUUCCAGAUCUGUGUGUGAGCACACACGCGCGCACGCGAAUACACACACACACACAGAGGCAAGAGCUAUAAUUGGAGGGUGAGGGGCUGAGCUUUUAUUUCAAAGCCUUAAUACAAACAGCAUCCUCCCUGGCCAGGACUUCCCAAAGUUCAGGAGGAGUUAAGACUUAAGGAAGAUGGAGGGAAGGGCACAGACUGGAGGGAGAGGGAGCUGGGGUCAACAGGAUAUGCUAAGCUGGCCACUCCCUGGCCCCUUCGGCAGGCAUUGCUUCCUUUCUACCUCCUCCACCA